rnacentral:lncRNA from 1 species
GGGCACAUCAUGUAAAUUAAAGUUCCAAAUUUUGAAAAUGUUGCGCAACUGAAAACGAAUAAUCACAUAUACAAUUGUACGGACGAAACUUAAGGUGGUGAGGGAAAGAUAUAUUUGGUUGAACCAAAAUCAACUAAAAACCUUAAAAGUACGGUUGUUACUUUGGUGGUUAACCAAAUGUAGAAAGUGGUUAAAAAAAUUUUAUAAAAUAAAAUUUAUAGAGCAUAAUUGGACGAGAAUCAAAUACCCAAAGCAUCUGAUAACCUAACCCAUCAAACAAAUGAGAAGCUGAUUCUGCAGAAAAAAAAGAAAAAAAGAAAAAAAGAAAGUAAGGACUGUACUUACCACUUACCAGAGUUAAACAAAAGCUGCGAUGGGAUCUUUGAUGCUUCUAGAGUUUACUAUAGGCUUCACUUAGAUGCCGAACUCUUGUAAUAUAAGUUACAUUUCUAUAUAGUUCUAAAACGAGGUACAAUGUUGAAUACUUGGUUUCUCACGCUUAUUUUCUGCAUCUACAUGCUAUUUUCUUGGUUUGGUUUAUAUCUUAUUCAAGCGUUCAUUUCACCAGUGCGCGGUUCUAACCACGUUUCCUCUUGUGAUGAUACCGACAUUUUCCACAGGAAAUAUAAAAAGGAUAAGCGAUGCAUGAGAAAGAUGAUGUAACUCAAAUUAAAUCUGAGAUGGGUAGAUGUUAAAUCUCCCUUACCAAUUUGCCAGAAUCUACAACAGGAAGUCUGCGAUUAAAUGGAAACAGAACAAGAAGACUAAGUUAGAGAAAAAUGUAAAAUCUGGAUAAGGAAAAAAAUGACGGCACUGAAGAUAAAGGUAAGACAAUAACUUAGCAGCAUCUUCGAGGUUGGUGUUUUCCUCAACAACAACUGGAGCUGGGUGUCAUCAAAUGUCCAACAAGCUUCCCAUUGGUUUUGCUAACUAAAUAUUCUUAUCGGAAUCAAUAUAUUACUAUGAUACAAGGUCACGAGAUAUGAAAACAAAAGAAAUUUACAAAC